rnacentral:sRNA from 1 species
GGGGGUUGAGGUUGGGCGGGAGAGGGGUGCAGAAACGUUCUCUGCUGGGAAAGGACAACUUGGACCGGGAGGGAGUUGCCUGCGUCUGGGCCGCGGGGGAGCAGCAGGCCGGCCAGGCGGGGAAGCCCAUGCCUAGGAAAAGGGAGUGACUUGGAAUCCUAAAUCAGAAGUCUCAAGCAAUUUCUCUUUUGGAUAAUGUCAUCAUUUGGGGGUAAUCAACAACAUUCACACGCCUCUCCUCUCUAAAUGCCAUUUGAAGUCUCCUCUGAGAGGCUCUCCUGCAGUAAACAGCUUGGCUUCUCCCUCAAGCAUUCUACUCAGUCCCUGUCUGCUCUGGUCUCUCAGCUGAUGACUCAGGGAGGAUGUUUGUUACCCCCUCAGACUGAGGGAUCUCUGUGGUCAAGAACCAUGCUCCCUGCUUCUGGCUGGAUCCCUGCAAGGAUCUCCACAGACCUCUAAGAGUCUGAGCCCAGGACCCGGCCUGGUGGCUGGGAAGCCAAUGGGAAGCCUAUUCAUCUCUGGACUCAGGGUUGUUACCUGCAAAUAUCACUCCAAAGGUAUGCCAGGACGACAAUGAUGAUGACAACAAUGGUGAUGAUGAUG